UGUUUGUAUACCUUGCAGAUGCGGCUGUAAUGAGUAUGUAGGCAGAUGAUCAACAAAUUGGUUAUAGUACAUGGAUGUUCGAUUUGGACUAAUAUGAUAGCAACUGCUUGCAGCUAAACAAUGGAAAGACAUGCAUCGCGAAAAGAGCAAGCUACGAAUAUAUAGGAUAUAUAUGCAUCUUACAGCUAUAGCUUCUGGAGGCAGCAAAUCUUACUUGCUGUACGGUGUAUGUAUAUUAAGAGACGGAGCCAAGUUGAAAAUGGUGGUAGUGGAUUCCAAGGGUAACACAACAUUUAGUGCGGGGUACGAGGGAGUGCAAUAUUCACCCUAUUGUACUACAGCUUAAUUAUAUCCGCUGAAACAUGCUACUAUAGUUGUCGCUACUAAAAUAGUGGUCACAGAUUUCAGGGGAAUCAGCACCAAGGAGCGUUCUAUUGCAGGUUCUCUGUAUCA